rnacentral:rRNA from 1 species
UACAGAGGGUGCGAGCGUUAAUCGGAAUUACUGGGCGUAAAGCGUGCGUAGACGGUUAUUUAAGUCGGGUGUGAAAGCCCCGGGCUCAACCUGGGAAUUGCAUUCGAGACUGAAUAGCUAGGGUACGGUAGAGGGAAGUGGAAUUUCCGGUGUAGCGGUGAAAUGCGUAGAUAUCGGAAGGAACAUCAGUGGCGAAAGCGGCUCUCUGGCCUAUAACUGACGCUGAGGCGCGAAAGCGUGGGGAGCGAACAGG